CGGACGGGUGAGUAACGCGUGGGUAACCUACCCAUAAAGCCGGGACAACCCUUGGAAACGAGGGCUAAUACCGGAUAAUCUUAAAGUACGGCAUCGUAGUUUAAGGAAAGGUGGCCUCUGAAUAUGCUACCGAUUAUGGAUGGACCCGCGUCUGAUUAGCUAGUUGGUGGGGUAAAGGCCUACCAAGGCGACGAUCAGUAGCCGGCCUGAGAGGGUGAACGGCCACACUGGGACUGAGACACGGCCCAG
rnacentral:rRNA from 1 species